CCUAUAGAAAGAGAACACUAGUUCGUCAAUUGCAAUCCAUCCUUGGAGAAAUGGCACUCAAGCUCUUGAAGAUCAUGGCAGUGAUUACAAUGGGAGCAAUCUUAAUCACUCAAGUUGAUGGGAACAGCAAGCUCGAUGUUUACAUGCUCCCAGGUUGCCAAGACCCAGGAGUGAGUUACACGGCCCAGCCCAAUCCUUGCACCUCGAUAUGUGUGGCCACUCCACUCUUCUAUCGCUUCACAUACUUGGGUCAAGCCGCAUUUUUCUAUGAUCUGCCCGAUUGUCUUGGCACUGCACGCAGAGUUCAAUCGAAUGUGACCGUCUGUGAUUUGGGGCAGGUGACACCAUCGCAGAGUGUGAGAUUCUCAUGCGGUCCAUAAACCAGUGAAACGAAAUAGAAUGUAAGAGGUGCCACAUAUAUGUUGCUGUAGGAACAAGGUGUUCGCUGGUUGGGACUGAAAGCUACGGAUAUACAACAUCCAAGCUCCCCAACAUGUUACAAAGGCCUAACCAGAGUAGUGAACCAGCUAUGGGGCUUCUCUAGAAGCAUCUUUUCGAGCAUAAAAGCGCAUUUUGAUUUUCACCAUACUUGUCGAGAAGAAACUAGAACUUCUCAAAUCCUAUCCA